rnacentral:rRNA from 2 species
AGGGGGCGUGCUAAUACAUGCAAGUCGAGCGAACUGAUUAGAAGCUUGCUUCUAUGACGUUAGCGGCGGACGGGUGAGUAACACGUGGGCAACCUGCCUGUAAGACUGGGAUAACUUCGGGAAACCGAAGCUAAUACCGGAUAGGAUCUUCUCCUUCAUGGGAGAUGAUUGAAAGAUGGUUUCGGCUAUCACUUACAGAUGGGCCCGCGGUGCAUUAGCUAGUUGGUGAGGUAACGGCUCACCAAGGCAACGAUGCAUAGCCGACCUGAGAGGGUGAUCGGCCACACUGGGACUGAGACACGGCCCAGACUCCUACGGGAGGCAGCAGUAGGGAAUCUUCCGCAAUGGACGAAAGUCUGACGGAGCAACGCCGCGUGAGUGAUGAAGGCUUUCGGGUCGUAAAACUCUGUUGUUAGGGAAGAACAAGUACGAGAGUAACUGCUCGUACCUUGACGGUACCUAACCAGAAAGCCACGGCUAACUACGUGCCAGCAGCCGCGGUAAUACGUAGGUGGCAAGCGUUAUCCGGAAUUAUUGGGCGUAAAGCGCGCGCAGGCGGUUUCUUAAGUCUGAUGUGAAAGCCCACGGCUCAACCGUGGAGGGUCAUUGGAAACUGGGGAACUUGAGUGCAGAAGAGAAAAGCGGAAUUCCACGUGUAGCGGUGAAAUGCGUAGAGAUGUGGAGGAACACCAGUGGCGAAGGCGGCUUUUUGGUCUGUAACUGACGCUGAGGCGCGAAAGCGGACA